rnacentral:rRNA from 1 species
AUUGAACGCUGGCGGCAUGCUUUACACAUGCAAGUCGAACGGCAGCGGGGUAGUGCUUGCACUACUGCCGGCGAGUGGCGAACGGGUGAGUAAUAUAUUGGAACGUACCGAGUAAUGGGGGAUAACCAAUCGAAAGAUUGGCUAAUACCGCAUACGCUCUGAGGAGGAAAGCAGGGGACCUUCGGGCCUUGCGUUAUUCGAGCGGCCAAUAUCUGAUUAGCUAGUUGGUGGGGUAAAGGCCUACCAAGGCGACGAUCAGUAGCGGGUCUGAGAGGAUGAUCCGCCACACUGGGACUGAGACACGGCCCAGACUCCUACGGGAGGCAGCAGUGGGGAAUUUUGGACAAUGGGCGCAAGCCUGAUCCAGCCAUGCCGCGUGUCUGAAGAAGGCCUUCGGGUUGUAAAGGACUUUUGUUAGGGAAGAAAAAGGAGCGGUUAAUACCCGUUUCUGCUGACGGUACCUAAAGAAUAAGCACCGGCUAACUACGUGCCAGCAGCCGCGGUAAUACGUAGGGUGCGAGCGUUAAUCGGAAUUACUGGGCGUAAAGCGAGCGCAGACGGUUACUUAAGCAGGAUGUGAAAUCCCCGGGCUCAACCUGGGAACUGCGUUCUGAACUGGGUAGCUAGAGUAUGUCAGAGGGGGGUAGAAUUCCACGUGUAGCGGUGAAAUGCGUAGAGAUGUGGAGGAAUACCGAAGGCGAAGGCAGCCCCUUGGGAAUGUACUGACGCUCAUGUGCGAAAGCGUGGGGGAGCAAACAGG